rfam:Metarhizium acridum CQMa 102 unplaced genomic scaffold Scf_082, whole genome shotgun sequence.
GGCACUUUGGCCGAGUGGUCUAAGGCGCCGUGUUCAGGUGUCCAACCGGAUUCAUCCGAUUGCCCCUAUUCGCGGUCUAGUAAUAGGCGAGGGUUGGAAUCCCUCAGGUGUCA